UUUACUUUGGUGUACAGUCAACAUACAGGAGCACAAUGUCCUUUAACAAUAGAAUAAUUAUAAUAACAACAAGAAUUGAAAUUACAAUAUCAAUAUCAAUAAAAUAGUCCAUUCAAAUAUAUUCACACGGGAUAACAUACUGAUAAAUACUUGUAAGAAAUAGUUCUCAUGUAUGGAAUGCUGUUGAUCUGAAUUCCAGUCGGGUGAUUGUCAUGUUACUGACACACAUGUUGCUUGUAUCCUUACACAAUACAGUAUGCGCCCAUCAGUGAAAACACACACGUUCUAGGUAAAGUCUUACAAGGGGCUAGGCCACAUAUUUUUGAGAAAAGAAGUUGAACAAAAAGUAAUUUUCUAAA